CCUACGGGAGGCUGCAGUGAGGAAUAUUGGUCAAUGGACGGAAGUCUGAACCAGCCAUGCCGCGUGCAGGAAGACGGCUCUAUGAGUUGUAAACUGCUUUUGUACAAGGGUAAACCUGAAUACGUGUAUUCAGCUGAAAGUACUGUACGAAUAAGGAUCGACUAACUCCGUGCCAGCAGCCGAGGUAAGACGGAGGAUCCAAGCGUUAUCCGGAUUUAUUGGGUUUAAAGGGUGCGUAGGCGGAUUGAUAAGUUAGAGGUGAAAUGUCCGAGCUUAACUCGGGAACUGCCUCUAAUACUGUUGAUCUAGAGAGUAGAUGCGGUAGGCGGAAUGUAUGGUGUAGCGGUGAAAGGCUUAGAGAUCAUACAGAACACCGAUUGCGAAGGCAGCUUACCAAUCUAUAUCUGACGUUGAGGCACGAAAGCGUGGGGAGCAAACAGGAUUAGAUACCCGGGUAGUC
rnacentral:rRNA from 1 species